GAGUAUUGCUCAUGGCCUGUUAGUCUAGCCAUGGCUGAUGGGCUCCAUUCCGGUGGUACAACAGCUCCAGCAACACAUGACUGACUUGUGGCUCUCAGUUUCAGGUCCUGGGGACACAG